GACUUUCGGCCUGCCGGGCUAUGACGACUCCACCCACGAUGAGGCUAUAUGGAAAAACAACUAAUGGGACACGCCCCUUUGAGCUGCGUGCUACAGCGAGGCUAAGCUAGUGGGGGAAAAGUUUCAGUGCAUUCCGUUGAUGUAGACGGCGUGAAAACGGAAACAAGUAUGCUGGCUCACUGUGCUGCAUACAAUUGCACACUGCGUCGUACGACUGAGACAAGGAAACUUGGAAGGACUUUUCAUAGGUUUCCCAGAGACUAUGGGUUGAGGAGGAAGUGGAAGUUUGUCGGCUUAGACCUGGUGUCAUUCCAUCAGUGUUAAACUUCCCGGCUCAUCUUGGAAGAGUACGUGCCAGAAAGACCACGACCAAGCAGCCUUGAGAUCUUAGGCAGCGUCUCCCUGAGUUGCUGUAAAAAGUCAGUCCAUCCUGGCUGACUUCAACACCUCUUCAUGACAACUUGUUCUGCCUCCGACCUCGUGGAAACUCCAGAAACUCGGGAAAACCUGUGGAGACUCGAAGAACUCGUGGAGACUCGAAAAACUCGUCGGGCGGGGGAAGGUGUGGUGGGCGGUGGAGGGAGGUGGGGGAGUAGAGGGGGGAGGCCGCCACCCACCUCCCCACCUACUCUCCGCCCUGACUCCACCCAGACUCCGCCUUGCCUCCGCCCAUGUGGUCACUUCAGGAACUACGAUGCCAAAGGGACGACGAAUUUAUUUCUUUUUAUCUGAUCUGUAGCUCAGUGAGUUAAGGAUUUGCCUAUGGAGCUGCAGGUCGCCGGUUCAAGACCAGACACUUCUUAAAUUUUCUCAAUAUUCUGACAAAGACAAAGAAAGAAAAAGGCCGGUGGCGGGUCUUGAACCUGCGACCUUCCAGUCUGUAGUCUGUCUUCUUUUCCCCUGAGCUAUACGCUCAGAUACUAAUUCUUCUUUUUUUUGCGCAUUUAUCAUCUAUUUUUUGUCGUUUUCGAGUUUUUUUUUUAACUCGAGUCUCGACUCGACCGUUUUUCUCAGGAGGUUGGACUUCAGCCUUUGUGCUGGAGGGUGGAACCCUCAGUUCCAAGACUUUCCAAAGCCUCCACACCUCCCGAGUCUUCAGGACCUGAGCUUUCACACAGUCUGAGGGCUGAAAUUUUCUAAGUCCCACAGCAGUUCUCUGUUAGUUUGAACCUUCAGACAGUCUGAGGACAGAAAUUUUCCAAGUCCCACAGUAGUUCUCUGUUAGUUUGAACCUGCAGACAGUCCAAGGACUGAAAUCCUCUAAGUUCCUGAGUACUUCUCUGUUAGUUUGAACCUUCAGACAGUCUGAGGACUGAAAUUUUAAAAGUUCCUGUGUACUUCUCUGUUAGUUUGAGCUUUCAGACAGUCUGAGGACUGAAAUUUUAAAAGUUUCUCACUACUUCUCUGUUAGUUUGAACCUUCAGACACUCUGAGGACUGAAGUUUUAAAAGUUUCUCAGUACUUCUCUGUUAGUUUGAACUUUCUGGUUAACAGAAGCCUUAAAACUUGUGACCAUGAGUCUUGAUUUCACAUUUAGACCAUCCAUCUGAGUUCUUCUCAGACCUUCACCUGUGGGUUUUUUAGAAAUCCUGAACAAACUUUGAUUCUCUUCACUGAACAGUAAAGUUUGUGGAGAUCAGAAGGUAACAUUAGUUUGAUCAAUGCCUUCAACUACUAGUAGACUUUAUCUGGAAAGCAGUUUCCUUAAAUGAGUUCUUAGUAAAUCUGUCCACAAUCAAACCAAGAACAUAGAAAGAGGAAAUGUUUGAAGAAACAACUUGAUGUUUUCAUUUCAGACUAGAAAAUGCUUUAAUACCUUCAUCUAUUUUUGCUCUUUUUCAUCUUUUUAUUGUCUCUUCUGUUUAAUUUGAUCUUCUAAAGUUUAACUGGUGUCUUUUCAAAUGUUUUGUCUUUAGUUUUAUUCUUCUUAAAUGUUUAGUGUUGCUCUUUUCUCACCUUUUAUUCUUUUCUAAUGUCUG
ensembl:lncRNA